GUCUCUGUGGCGCAAUAGGCUAGCGGCGUUCGGCUGUUAACCGAAGGUUGGUGGUUCGAGCCCACCCAGGGGCA
rnacentral:tRNA from 1 species